rnacentral:snoRNA from 1 species
GCCCUCCAGAUUCCUUAGCCCUCAGUCUUAAAUAUUGGUCUGAGUGGCUAAAAAAGGAGAAAAAGUAAACCUGAAGUAGACUUGUAAUCUUUAGUGACAUACAAGUUCAUUUCAAACAAGG